rnacentral:sRNA from 1 species
UGCACUCAUGGCUUCUCCUAGCAAGGCAGUGAUUGUUCCCGGGAACGGAGGCGGGGAUGUGACCACCCACGGCUGGUAUGGCUGGGUGAAAAAGGAGCUGGAGAAGUUACAGCACGAGAGAGCAUCUGGCUGCCCUUCAUGGAGACAGAGCUGCACUGUGAUGAGAAGACUAUCAUCAUUGGCCACAGUUCUGGGGCCAUCGCGGCCAUGAGGUAUGCAGAAACACAUCGAGUAUAUGCUAUUGUAUUAGUGUCUGCGUACACAUCAGACUUGGGGGAUGAAAAUGAGCGUGCAAGUGGAUACUUCACCCGCCCCUGGCAGUGGGAGAAGAUCAAGGCCAACUGCCCUUACAUUGUGCAGUUUGGCUCUACUGACGACCCGUUCCUUCCCUGGAAGGAACAACAAGAAGUGGCUGAUAGGUUGGAAACCAAAUUGCACAAAUUCACUGACUGUGGCCACUUUCAGAACACAGAGUUUCAUGAACUGAUUACUGUGGUAAAGUCUUUGCUGAAAGUACCAGCAUAGACUGUAUGAUUUCUGCUAUUUUGCAUCCCAAUAUAGGAGUAGAAUAAUAUCUACUAUCAGCUGAUUACUAGACACAUAGAACAUCCAGUUAAGUUCCAUAAGUGCCUGAAAAACAAACACAAGUUUCAACAUUCAAUCUAAGUUACAAAUAGCAUUUCCAUUUUCCAUAGACUCUAAAACUCCCCAAAUUGCUAUGAGCUACCACAGUAUUUUCCUCAUUUGAUAAGAAACAUAAGGACAGCUUAACUACCCUUCUCUAUCCGAAGUGAGUCAGAAACAGAACCCAGGUUUCCUGAUUCCCAAUC